GGGCUUUCUUGUGCAUCAUCUUCAGAAGAGACUUCCUUCUGGGACGAGAGCCAUGCAGACCAAUUUGAUGCAGUGUGCGAUGUAUGGUCUGAGCACUGACAGACUGACCCUCCACCCUUUCAACCUCUGCUGGCUGCAAUCAUACGUCUAUUUCCUAAAGACAACCUCUGGAUAUGGCGCUGAGCACGUGCACUUAUUUGCCAUGCGGUGUCAUGUUGGCUUUCCAGUGACCAGUAUGAGAGAGUGUGAUAACACCACAUUUAACACACCUGUGACCUUGUAACACUAACAUGCCACCGGGGAGGGACAAUGGCU